CACUUUGACUUUUGUCUUAGCUUUCUUUCAGAUGCAGACGGAUGAAAUCGGUGGCAGAGCGCCCCAUCCAGGGUAAGGGGGUUCCCGCGAGAAGGAAGUAGAGCUGGCUAUCAGCAGUCAAGGCAAAGCGGGCAAGGCAGUCCAGUCUCUUUUCGUUGAGACCCCCUCGCCAACCGGCCAACACGCCUGCUUCGCCUCUCCCGUGAGCCCUGCGGAAGCGUUACGGGACUGUCUGAUGAAGCCCUGGCCUUUUCUACUUAAAGGGGCCGUGUGGGUGGCCUUCAGGAACGGGCCGAGGGGUUGCCGCGCGCCCUGCGACGACGGCGUCUGGCUCCCAGCGCGGCCGAAGCGCG